UUUUUGUCUCAAAAGGAGAUGAUUCUCUGAUGAAGGUUGUGGAUUUGGUCUAUCGGGUUUUGUUAGACCAGGGCAGCCAAUCUUCUGAGGAAAUUAUAAUGGAAAAUAUGAUGGAAAGUGCAUAUUUAAGAUGACUGGAUCCCAAUCUUUUCAUCGCCUCGAAUAUUGAUGGUAUAAACGCCUCAAUGAUAUUGUUGGCUGUGCCUACUAUGUUGCACCUGAAGUGCUCCAUAGAUCUUACAGUGUUGAAGCAGACUUAUGGAGUAUCGGAGUUAUUACAUACAUAUUGUUAAGUGGAAGUAGACUAAGAAUCUUCUGGCUUGUGCUAAGAGCUAAUCCUAACUUUGAUGAUUCACCUUGGCCAUCAAUAUCACCAGAAGCUAAAGACUUUGUCAAGAGGCUUUUGAACAAUGACCAUAGAAAAAGGAUGUCUGCUGCCCAAGCUCUAGGGUGUCGUUUUCCACUAGUGACCAUUUCGUUCAAAUAACUUUUCUAAUUGGAGAUUUCGAUGCCAAGAACUCAUGUCUCUUGAGGGUGGUAUGUGAUCUCACUGAUUUGCCCUUAUAUAAAGAUUGUAGGGAGAUGCCCUUGUGCCAAAGUAGUCUCAAUUUGUUAGCCCAGGUCGGGAGAAGCUCAAUAUCAGUUAUGGAACUCCUAUCAUUUGGAUAGGGGGAGAUAAUGGUCUAGGUAGGAGCUCUGGGCCUUUGGUCGGCCAUAAACGAAGUUAAAUGGUCUAUUGAGCAAUGCACAUGUUGAACUUAGCUAUAGAUGAGAAUUUUGUCAUUAGGUAUCUUGUAUGCAUACAUUACUGCCUUGUAUGUUCUUGUUUGAGAGUAACUAAUUGGACCAGGUGAUUGACCGGCUAUAGAUGCAUUGUAACCUCAAAUGUGAUUAUUGAGACUUUUUGUCUCAUCUUUUUAUCUUUUGCUUUUCAAGAGACACGCGUGAAGUUGUGGGAAGGGAAUUAACGUAAUGGAAUUGAGCUUUAUGAGAAGUACGAUUCCUUCAAAAUA